rnacentral:sRNA from 1 species
UAUAACAUACUAAACAUCGAAGCAAUACCGUCUAACGUACUACUAAAAAACUUGAGUGAUGGUCAAAAACAAAAGCUUAAA